UACGUAGGGGGCGAGCGUUGUCCGAAGUUACUGGGCGUAAAGCGCGCGUAGGCGGGAAAUUAAGUGAGAAGUGAAAGGCUGGGGCUCAACCUCAUGCAGUGCUUCUCAUACUGGUUUUCUUGAGGGCGGUAGAGAAAAGUGGAGUGGCUGGUGUAGCGGUGAAAUGCGUAGAUAUCAGUCGGAACACCGGUGGCGAAGGCGGCUUUUUGGGCCGUUCCUGACGCUGAGGCGCGAAAGCCAGGGGAGCGAACGGG
rnacentral:rRNA from 1 species